CCAGGCAACACGCCCUGCGCAGCCAUUGGCCAGCGCCUCACCGGGCCCCACCCACAAGGAGCACGCCCAGUCCUGCUCAGCUCUGGGUGGGGCCGCAGCGGGCCUGCCCGCAGGUAACGAGCUGCCGAGGAGGGGCUGUGAGUGAGGGGAUGCGGCCAAUAGCUGGUCAUCAGGUGGACAGUGAGUGAGAGGCAGCUUCAGGCCUCCUCCCGGAAGCCCUCCGGCUCACCUCAACUUGGGCCAGCGGCGCUGGGGGCCCAGGCGUGAGCAUGACCUUGGAAUCAACCUUUCUCCGUUCCAGACGCCAGUGUUUCAGUAUUGUUUGGCCUCACUGUGCAACACCC
ensembl:lncRNA